AGGACGAACGCUGGCGGCGUGCUUAACACAUGCAAGUCGAGCGGAAAGGCCCUUCGGGGUACUCGAGCGGCGAACGGGUGAGUAACACGUGAGUAACCUGCCUCUGACUUUGGGAUAACCCUCGGAAACGGGGCUAAUACCGGGUAUUCAUUCCUUGCGGCAUCGUGGGGUGUGGAAAGCUUUUGCGGUCAGGGAUGGGCUCACGGCCUAUCAGCUUGUUGGUGGGGUGAUGGCCUACCAAGGCGACGACGGGUA
rnacentral:rRNA from 1 species